GACGAACGCUGGCGGCGUGCUUAACACAUGCAAGUCGAACGGAAAGGCCCCCUUGUGGGGUACUCGAGUGGCGAACGGGUGAGUAACACGUGAGUAACCUACCCUUGACUUUGGGAUAACUUCAGGAAACUGGGGCUAAUACCGGCUAGGAGCUCCUGCUGCUGGGUGGGGGUUGGAAAGUUUCGGCGGUUGGGGAUGGACUCGCGGCUUAUCAGCUUGUUGGUGGGGUAGUGGCUCACCAAGGCUUUGACGGGUAGCCGGCCUGAGAGGGUGACCGGCCACAUUGGGACUGAGAUACGGCCCAGACUCCUACGGGAGGCAGCAGUGGGGAAUAUUGCACAAUGGGCGGAAGCCUGAUGCAGCAACGCCGCGUGCGGGAUGACGGCCUUCGGGUUGUAAACCGCUUUCGCCUGUGACGAAGCGUGAGUGACGGUAAUGGGUAAAGAAGCACCGGCUAACUACGUG
rnacentral:rRNA from 1 species